rnacentral:lncRNA from 1 species
CGGCUUUGCAUAUGGUUAUCUGUAUGGAGAAGAAUUAGAUGUCUUUCCUGAGAGCUUUGGAGGUUGGGAAUCAUCUUCUUCUGUUUAUUUUUAUUUUUAACAUUACAUUACAUUCUUCUGAUUCAGUAUCGCAAGAAAGGAUUUUUUCUUUUUUCAAAAACAAAACUUUAAGAAGCCAGAGGCUAGGCUGAGAAUGUUCUGCGCUCGUCCUCACAGCUCUGCUGCCGACACUGCCAACGCUCGAGACAGUCAGCCUGGAACCUCUGGGACAAGGUCUACUCGAGGUCUCACUUGGACAGCGAGUUCUGCCUUGUCAUUGAACAAGGUCCAAAAUACAGACAUUUUUGCUAGGGCCUAGAAAUCGACCAUAAAACUCACUGCAUUGAGGCCUAAUCCAUUCUAUAUUAACAUCCAUGUGAUAAAGUGAAAAUAAUUUUGAGGGUUUUGCUUUCGCCAAAAAAAAAAAAGAAAGAAAGAAAAAAAAAGAAAGGAAGAAAAAGAAAAAAGAAAGGAUUGUUUUCCUUAGCUUUGCUCAAGAAAAAUACAGCUAUCCUAAACUGGAAUCUUCCCGUAUUCUUUAGAGUCUUAAGUAUAGAGUUUAACUUCACUUUUGUCAGCUGUCUUGAGCUUAUUUCUAAGUAGUUUUGUUUUGGCUUUUGGUGAGUGAGGUAGUGGGAGGUUAAUUUUGGGGUCUUUUUUUUUUUUGGCUUUGUUUGUGUGUGUGUGUGUGUGUGUGUGUUUAUGUGUUUGGCUUUUGGGUUUGGUUGGUUAGUUGUUUAGUUUGUUUUUUUGUUGUUGUUUAAUUUGCUUUUUCUAGGCAGGGUUUCUCUAUGUGGCCCUGGCUGUCCUAGAACUUGCUCUGUAGACCAGGCUAGCCUCAAACUCAGAGAUCCACUUGCCUCUGUCUCGAGUGUGCUUGAACUAAAGGCAUGAGCUACCCUCCUCAGCCCACUCCAAACUUUGAGUAAUAUUUUUAAAUCAUAGACAUGUUGGUAUUAGAAACAUGGCGUAUUGUGGUGGAUGGUAGAGAAAGGGCGCCGCAACCUCUCAGGACAUCAUAUGUCUGGCCAGCUCUUCAUUCAUAUAGGUGCUCUCUGGAUAUGUCUUUACAUCAGACUCACACCUCUGAAACCCGGUUUUCACACAAGGAGACUUGCCAUUGGGGUCUUUAGUAGCCCAGGGAAACAUAGAGUAAACUGAAGAGCUUACUGUGUGCCGCUUAUCCUUAGAUGGCCUCAUCCAGUCACAGGUCUUUGUCAGAAUCUAACCAUUGAUUCACUGAGGAGACCCUACUGCCCUGAGGUUCCACUGAAGCAGCUUUUAGUGAGACUAGGGCAAGAAUAUACCGAAUAGCUUCUGUUCAAGGUUUGGUUCCAGAGACUCUACCAUUUACAGGACUGGCUGGAGUUACAACAACCUCUUAAAGAGGGUAGGGCGGGUUCUCCAGUUAGACCCCCUAACCUCACAGGUGAGUAGUCCUAACCUGACAGCCUUAGAAACACAGUUGCCGAGUACCUGAGAGCACCCAGUGGCCCGCCGCCUCCUAUUCAGCCCCUCUUUAAAGACGACAGACGGUUAAGCCAUGGAGAAGCUGUUCAGGUAGCACGGGGCCAUUUCUGCCCCCAGCUUGUCAUGUUUUUUCUCUCAGGACCCACUCUCUGACCAGUAGACUUGAAUUUAGCCCCAAGUGAUUUACUAAACUCAGCUCAGAAGCUCACUUAAAAAUAGGACCUCCACAUGGUCGUGCUAAGUAAAAAUGAAGACCCCAAGUUGCACAGGGUGCUGCUAUCUCAAAGACAAUACUUUCCUUUGAAUAGAAAGCUGUGCCGUCCACCCUGCAAUGGGUGCUAGCCAACUUGCUUGAGAAAGUCAGGAGCAAGCAUUUUGAGUUUUAAAGAAUGUCCUGAACUUGUCUUUUAAGUAAACAUAGCUGCUUUAUUAAAAGCUGUGACUACUAAAGCCAGUCACAGCCAUCGUCACUGUGGGAGUUAAAUCAUGUCAACUUUCAAACAUCACAGUUGUUUCAAUCUUCUGUCCAAAGAACUCCUCUUCUGGAGAAAACCUGAUUUUGGUUUUGGCUUUUUGUCUUGUCUUGUUUUGUUUUUCCUGAGAUGGGGUCUCUCUGUGAAGCCCUGGCUAUCCUGGAACUCAGUGUGUAGACCAGGCUGGCCUUGAACUCAUGUAGAUCUGCCUGCUAAAACUAAAGACAUGCACCACCAUGACAGCUGACUAUUUUUUAUGAUGAGCACAGAAGUGGCUCACAUUUUCUUAAAGCACACUUUUGUCACAUAGUAGAGUCUAGGAAAGAAUAACAUUGAAAAUCCCCAUCCCAGUGUGACACUUGUGUAAGCACAUAUGGAUAGCCAUUGGAAGAAUACAUGCUUGCUUGUAACAUGAAAUUAAAGACAUUGUAUAAUUUCUUAAUCUUUAAAAAUUACCAAAAAAGUGGCAACAGUAUGUUUAAGGUUAUUUUAAUUUUUACAUAAAUUGUUAACC